ensembl:lncRNA
AGACGAAGGCCGGAGCGGUCCCUCGGACCCUCCAGCGGAGACUAGAGACGAAGGCCGGAGCGGUCCCUCGGACCCUCCAGCAGAAGCCAUCACUAAGCCAGCAGCCAUGGAGGCCACUAGCACACAUGAAAGCAACUGGCACUGCCCAGAGCACUGGCCCUGCCCAGGCAACGCUGACAUGAGGUGGUACUCAGGGGGCUGCUUAAACUGCAGGGGUCCAGAAUUAGCUGGGGCCUGACACCUAGCCUCUGGGGGAGCCCUGGAGUGGCAAACUGUACCAACGGCGGCUAACCCCUGAAAAGUACACUGAGAAGACGUAAGACUUCCUCCCUGCGUGGAGUGAACGGGUGAACCAGGUGGCCCUGGGGCCUGAACUACAAGUAACGGUGACACUGGAGGCACUGGGGCCUGGACUACAGGCGGCACUGGGGCCUGGACUACAGGCGGCACUGGGGCCUGGACUACAGGCGGCACUGGGGCCUGGACUACAGGCGGCACUGGGGCCUGGACUACAGGCGGCACUGGGGCCUGGACUACAGGCGGCACUGGGGCCUGGACUACAGGCGGCACUGGGGCCUGGACUACAGGCGGCACUGGGGCCUGGACUACAGGCGGCACUGGAGGCACUGGAGACUGAACUACUGGAGGCACUGGAGACUGAACGACAGGUGACACUGGAGGCACUGGAGACUGAACUACAGGUGACACUGGAGGCACUGGAGACUGAACUACAGGUGACACUGGAGGCACUGGAGACUGAACUACAGGUGACACUGGAGGCACUGGAGACUGAACUACAGGUGACACUGGGGGGAACUGAGCCGAAAGGGGCACUGGAGACUGCACUGAGGGUGAAGCUGGGGGCACUGGAAACUGCACUGAGG